UACGUAGGGGCCGGGCGUUGUCCGGAGUUACUGGGCGUAAAGCGCACGCAGGCGGCGCUGCGCGUUUGUUGUUACAGCUCCCGGCUCAACCGGGAGAGCGCCUCGAAGACGGCAGCACUUGAGGGCCAGAGAGGGACACGGAACUCCGGGUGGAGUGGUGAAAUGCGUAGAUAUCCGGAAGAACACCAAAGGCGAAGGCAGUGUCCUGGCUGGUACCUGACGCUCAGGCACGAAAGCGUGGGUAGCAAACAGG
rnacentral:rRNA from 1 species